UCCGAGUUUCUCUCGGCAGUCCGGCCUGAGUGAUACAACAGGCCGCGAGGGUUGCGCUCGUUGCGGGACUUAACCCAACAUCUCACGACACGAGCUGACGACAGCCGUGCAACACCUGUGCAAGCUCCCUUGCGGGUCGAUCGCCUUUCGGUCCUCUACCACUUGCAUGUCAAGUCUGGGUAAGGUUCUUCGCGUACCAUCGAAUUAAACCGCACGCUCCGCUGCUUGUGCGGGCCCCCGUCAAUUUCUUUGAGUUUUAACCUUGCGGUCGUACUCCCCAGGCGGGGCACUUAAUGCGUUAGCUACGGCACUGCCGGGGUCGAUACCGACAACACCUAGUGCCCAUUGUUUACAGCUAGGACUAA
rnacentral:misc_RNA from 1 species